AAUAUUUACUUUUAUCGCUAUUUUGUGCAUUUUUCCUUUGAUCUUUUUUUGUGAUAAUUUUCAUAUCAUGCUACUCGCCUGAGAUGGAAAAAUUAUCGCCAGUAACUAAGCAUGCACGUGGCGUUACUAACGAAAUUGACAAGAAAUUGACACGAAAUUGACAGCGUCGUCAUAGGUAAAAUAGCGAUAAAAAGAUUAUCACUGUUCAUCUCAACUCGAUUGCGUUUCUCGCUUUCGCCGUCCCGGCUCAAGCGAGAAAAUCAAUCUCGUUGAGAUGAUCACCGAUAAUCUAUAAUUAU
rnacentral:lncRNA from 1 species